rnacentral:rRNA from 1 species
AUUGAACGCUGGCGGCAUGCCUUACACAUGCAAGUCGAACGGCAGCACGGGAGCAAUCCUGGUGGCGAGUGGCGAACGGGUGAGUAAUAUAUCGGAACGUGCCCAGUAGUGGGGGAUAACUGCCCGAAAGAGCAGCUAAUACCGCAUACGACCUGAGGGUGAAAGGGGGGGAUCGCAAGACCUCUCGCUAUUGGAGCGGCCGAUAUCAGAUUAGCUAGUUGGUGGGGUAAAGGCCUACCAAGGCAACGAUCUGUAGUUGGUCUGAGAGGACGACCAGCCACACUGGGACUGAGACACGGGCCAGACUCCUACGGGAGGUAGCAGUGGGGAAUUUUGGAAAAUGGGCGCAAGCCUGAUCCGGCAAUGCAGCGUGCAGGAAGAAGGCCUUCGGGUUGUAAACUGCUUUUGUCAGGGAAGAAAUCCUCUAGGUUAAUACCCUUGGGGGGAUGACGGUACCUGAAGAAUAAGCACCGGCUAACUACGUGCCAGCCGCCGCCGUAAAAC